GACACAAUCCUUGCAUACCUCUGCUGCUCUUACGAUCUUUAUAGUCCAAUGUUUUAAAGUCAAUGGGCAUCAGAAUGGACUCUUUCAAGGUAAGUUUAGGCUCUGCUAAUUUAAGUGCUAUUCGAUAAAGAUUCUUUACAGCUCUCAAGCUUUUCAUGGCACCUCUUCAAUAGUGGUAUCAAAUGUUCUGAAAAAUGUGUUUACCUAUAAGAGUAAAUUCACCAGUCUUGACUCAUGUGCUACAAAGUUUCAGCUAUUUCUCUUAACCUUCAGAGAAUAGUAAGUAGGUUCAUCGAUUGAUUAGGUAUGUAAAUUUCUCACAUGUACGGACAAUGCUCACAGCCUGUUUGGUCAAUUGACCAAGAAAGCUGCCAUUUAUUUCAAAAUAGGGCUAAGGCUACGUCAUCUUCACAAUAUAAUACUUAUUCUUUAAAAACUUAUGUUCACUCGGUUAUUCUGAUUUCCAAAAUGAAAUAAGUGCAGCACCUCAUAUUUCCACUCCAGUGUGUGCAGGUCAGCUGGUACAUAUGUUCAGACACAAGCAUGGAUUAUCUCCAAUAAAGAGAGCUUGCCAUUUGAAAAGGAUCUACAUGGUGGUGCAAGAAGUGAUCCUGUCCAGUCCAGCAAUGAGAAGGUGAAAGUGUCAACCUGUGUAAAAUUAAUAUUGUUUUGUAUUUACAAUAUGUUGUGUUAAACCUAUAUAUCCUAGCCAAUAAAUUGCAAAUUAUUCAAAA